GGUGGAAUGUAUAAGACAUUGUUGUUGUCCAAAAUGGCUGCCUUGUAAUUUCAUUCAGCUACAUGGUGAGUUUUCUCCUAAAUUGCAGUGAACCCCUGAAGACAUUCCAGCAAGAAAUAAAAUUGGCAGAAGAACAAUUGAGGGUUAAGGGCCUCGAAGGGUCUGACAGUGGGAGUGCUGGGAUUUAAACCCAUGACUUUCCACAAGUCUAAAUUCGUAUCCACUGAGAACAAUGAAGCACCCUGAGCCCCGAACAACACGCCCCAGGCAUUUAAUGCACUUACCCGUCAUCCCACUUACUCAAGGCAUGAGCAGAAUGCAUGUCGCAAACAACAAAAGAGAUCCCAGAAUACAACACAUUAGUCAUACUGUGACACAGAAGCGAGCAAAAUAAUCAAAACAAUAAGAACCACCGGAUUGAGUGGAAAAACAUGGAGUGGGAAAAGAAAAAAAAACAUUUAACUGAUUAGUAAUUCUUUCAGAUAUGGAAACUUUUUCACUGAUUUUGUUUUAUUAACACUUUCCGUUUUCUUAACCUGCAGUGCUUUUGAAUCUCUUUUCUACUCUAUAUACUUCUUACCUCGACAAUUCGGUGACUGUUGAAUGACAGCA